CACAUGCUGUGUCUUGAACAAAUCCCUGUAAAACCUUCUAAAAAAAUAAUCAAGUUACAAUUUAAGUGAAACCUGUAUUUGCUAUAUAUUACAUUGAUGUUACAUGUCUAUUCCCAAUGUAUUGGAAUUUAGGCGUGAUGUUGUGAGCCUCCAUGCUGAUGUAGCUAACUAAUGAUGUGAGAAACCGAAUUCCAUUGCAUUUCUUUGGGGUUUAAUCAUUAAAAUUGGAAAUGUACAUUGCUGUAAUAAUGACAUUCCAAAUGUUAGCCCCCCUCUGAAAAGCAGAGACUUUGAUUUUACAUUGCUACAUCAGAUUUUCAUAAAGUGCCCCUCUCCCAUAAAUCUGACCGACUGGCUUCGUUAUCACUGUGUCGGCAUCUGAUAUCACUCUAUUGUUCUAUUCCUCUAGCAGAGCAGGAAAACUGACUCACUAAGGGAAUAAUCACAGCAGCUACAGUGCAUACUAUUGUAGUUGCUUUUGCAGAGAGCUGGAAAAUCCCAAAGCUUUGAGACUUAGAGAGUUAUACAAAGAAUGAGACUGUGAGGGGUGGG